rnacentral:rRNA from 1 species
UACAGAGGUCUCAAGCGUUGUUCGGAUUCAUUGGGCGUAAAGGGUGCGUAGGCGGCGCGGUAAGUCGGGUGUGAAAUCUUGGAGCUUAACUCCGAAACUGCAUUCGAUACUGCCGUGCUUGAGGACUGGAGAGGAGACUGGAAUUUACGGUGUAGCGGUGAAAUGCGUAGAUAUCGUAAGGAAGACCAGUGGCGAAGGCGAAUCU